rnacentral:rRNA from 1 species
UUGACCUCGGAUCAGGUAGGGUUACCCGCUGAACUUAAGCAUAUCAAUAAGCGGAGGAAAAGAAACCAACAGGGAUUGCCUCAGUAACGGCGAGUGAAGCGGCAACAGCUCAAAUUUGAAAUCUGGUCCCCUUUGGGGGCCCGAGUUGUAAUUUGAAGAGGAUGCUUUUGGCGAGGCGCCGUCCGAGUUCCCUGGAACGGGACGCCGCAGAGGGUGAGAGCCCCGUACGGUCGGACGCCGAGCCUCUGUAAAGCUCCUUCGACGAGUCGAGUAGUUUGGGAAUGCUGCUCAAAAUGGGAGGUAAACCCCUUCUAAAGCUAAAUACCGGCCAGAGACCGAUAGCGCACAAGUAGAGUGAUCGAAAGAUGAAAAGCACUUUGAAAAGAGAGUUAAAAAGCACGUGAAAUUGUUAAAAGGGAAGCGCUUGCGACCAGACUUGCGCCCGUCGGAUCAACCGUCGCUUGCGGCGGCGCACUCCGGCGGGCUCAGGCCAGCAUCAGUUCGCUCGGGGGGAGAAAGGCGGCGGGAAUGUAGCUCCUCGGAGUGUUAUAGCCCGCCGUGUAAUACCCUCGGGUGGACUGAGGACCGCGCGUAUGCAAGGAUGCUGGC